GACGAACGCUGGCGGCGUGCUUAACACAUGCAAGUCGAACGGAAAGGCCCUGCUUUUGUGGGGUGCUCGAGUGGCGAACGGGUGAGUAACACGUGAGUAACCUGCCCUUGACUUUGGGAUAACUUCAGGAAACUGGGGCUAAUACCGGAUAGGAGCUCCUGCUGCAUGGUGGGGGUUGGAAAGUUUCGGCGGUUGGGGAUGGACUCGCGGCUUAUCAGCUUGUUGGUGGGGUAGUGGCUUACCAAGGCUUUGACGGGUAGCCGGCCUGAGAGGGUGACCGGCCACAUUGGGACUGAGAUACGGCCCAGACUCCUACGGGAGGCAGCAGUGGGGAAUAUUGCAAAAUGGGCGGAAGCCUGAUGCAGCAACGCCGCGUGCGGGAUGACGGCAUUCGGGUUGUAACCCGCUUUCGCCUGUGACGAAGCGUGAGUGACGGUAAUGGGUAAAGAAGCACCGGCUAACUACGUG
rnacentral:rRNA from 1 species